rnacentral:tRNA from 1 species
GCGCCCGUAGCUCAAUGGAUAGAGCGUUGCCCUCCGAAGGCAAAGGCUACUGGUUCGAGCCCAGUCGGGCGCACCA